rnacentral:lncRNA from 1 species
GGGGUCUCGAUCGUUUUGAUGAUUUCACCUGAUAAGCUUCAGAGGAGUACUUGUCGAUCCAUUUCUUGUACGGGUGUUGAUCACCAUUAAAAUCCAUAAGCUCCUUACCAAGAAAAACAUUGAGCCUCAUAGAAGGAGCGAUUGCACUAAGCGUAUACGCUGCAACUUUUGUUUUUUCAAAAGGAGUGGCAAGUUCACCGGGACCUUUUACGCCUUCAACUUUCCCGGACGCGGUUGCCAACACGAAAUUUGUGUACUUUGUAGUUGCAGGGUUUGGUGUAGUUUCUUUUGACAAGUCUAGACCCCACUCCUACAUAUACAAAUUACAUAAAUUCUUUAAAACCAUAAAUUUUAAUGCAAAUGUCAUAUUGUA